rnacentral:rRNA from 1 species
GACGAACGCUGGCGGCGUGCUUAACACAUGCAAGUCGAACGGAAAGGCCCUGCUUUUGUGGGGUGCUCGAGUGGCGAACGGGUGAGUAACACGUGAGAAACCUGCCCUUGACUUUGGGAUAACUUCAGGAAACUGAGGCUAAUACCGGAUAGGAGCUCCUGCUGCAUGGUGGGGGUUGGAAAGUUUCGGCGGUUGGGGAUGGACUCGCGGCUUAUCAGCUUGUUGGUGGGGUAGUGGCUUACCAAGGCUUUGACGGGUAGCCGGCCUGAGAGGGUGACCGGCCACAUUGGGACUGAGAUACGGCCCAGACUCCUACGGGAGGCAGCAGUGGGGAAUAUUGCACAAUGGGCGGAAGCCUGAUGCAGCAACGCCGCGUGCGGGAUGACGGCCUUCGGGUUGUAAACCGCUUUCGCCUGUGACGAAGCGUGAGUGACGGUAAUGGGUAAAGAAGCACCGGCUAACUACGUG